rnacentral:rRNA from 1 species
UACGUAGGGUGCGAGCGUUGUCCGGAUUUAUUGGGCGUAAAGGGCUCGUAGGUGGUUUGUUGCGUCGGAAGUGAAAACCUGCAGCUUAACUGUGGGCUUGCUUUCGAUACGGGCAGACUUGAGGAAGGUAGGGGAGAACGGAAUUCCUGGUGGAGCGGUGGAAUGCGCAGAUAUCAGGAGGAACACCGGUGGCGAAGGCGGUUCUCUGGACCUUUCCUGACGCUGAGGAGCGAAAGCGUGGGGAGCAAACAGGCUUAGAAACCCCAGUAGUCC